UACGUAGGGUGCGAGCGUUAAUCGGAAUUACUGGGCGUAAAGCGUGCGCAGGCGGCUCUCCAAGUCCGUUGUGAAAGCCCCGGGCUCAACCUGGGAAUGGCAGUGGAAACUAGGGGACUGGAAUCUGGCAGAGGGGGGUGGAAUGCCGCGUGUAGCAGUGAAAUGCGUAGAGAUGCGGCGGAACACCGAUGGCGAAGGCAGCCCCCUGGGCUGAGAUUGACGCUCAGGCACGAAAGCGUGGGGAGCAAACAGG
rnacentral:rRNA from 1 species